rnacentral:tRNA from 1 species
GGCUCGGUAGCUUAGAUGAUAAAACACUCGUCUAUCAUACCAGAGUCCUGGGUCCGAAUCCCAGCUAAGCAC